GCAGCCCCGGCAGCUCCAUCCCGGCGGCGCAGCGCUCCCGCGGGGCUCGCAGAGGCUGGAAUUGCGUGCGGGAGCUCUCCGGGAGGGAAGCGGAGCUGGCAGCAGGGGCUGUGCUGCUGUUGCCCAGAGAUGUUCUGCAGACCCCCCACAGCACAGUGAGCCCUGCCAGCCACCCCAAAUCCCGACCCUGAGAGCUGGGGAAGCUCUGAGCAUGUGAGUGAGGAGGGAAUGAGGCUCACCCUCAUCCUGGGAUGCCCAAGGGAUCCUGCAGGGCAGCCAACCCCUUCCUGCUGCUGUUGGACCUGGGGUUUGGGCAGCGCAGCCCCCGGGGUGCCCGCAGGGCCUGGGCUGCAGAGCUCACCUGGAUUUAGUGGCAGAGAUGCCCGUGGUGCUGCCAGCUGCCCCCACGGUGACACGGGAGAAGCACCGGGCAGGAAGGAGGUGCAGGAUCCCAGCCAGCCCCGGGUGGAGGACGCUGGAUGUGCCCCAGCUGGACAUCCCCGCAGAUGAGGAGUGUGAGUCCUGCUGGCCCCGCUCCCCCGAGCUCCUGCCCCCCGGGGACCGCCUGCACCGCCGGGGACAAUGGUGGAGGGACACGAGCACGGCAUCAGGGACACGUCCCCAGG